GACGAACGCUGGCGGCGUGCUUAACACGUGCAAGUCGAGCGAUGAAGUUUCUUCGGAAAUGGAUUAGCGGCGAACGGGUGAGGAACACGUGAAGAAUCUGCCCUCCACUUUGGGAUAACACCGGGAAACCGGUGCUAAUACCGAAUAUUGAAACAUAAGUGGCAUCACUGAGUUUUGAAAGAAUUUCGGUGGAGGAUGACUUCGCGGCCUAUCAGCUAGUUGGUGAGGUAAUGGCUCACCAAGGCAACGACGGGUAGCCGGCCUGAGAGGGCGACCGGCCACACUGGGACUGAGACACGGCCCAGACUCCUACGGGAGGCAGCAGUGGGGAAUAUUGGGCAAUGGAGGAAACUCUGACCCAGCGACGCCGCGUGCGGGAUGAAGGCCUCGGUUGUAACCGCUUCAGUAGGGAAGAAGCGAAGUGACGGUACCGUACAAAGAAGACACCGGCGUAACUAUAGUGCCAGCAGCCG
rnacentral:rRNA from 1 species